GACGAACGCUGGCGGCGUGCUUAACACAUGCAAGUCGAACGAAGUGGCGAACGGGUGAGUAACGCGUAAUCACCCUGCCCUUCAGAGGGGGACAACAGGUGGAAACGACUGCUAAUAACGCAUACUGAGGGAUGUGAUUGCGUCUGAUUGGCUAGUUGGAGGGGUAACGGCCCACCAAGGCGAUGAUCAGUAGCCGGUCUGAGAGGGUGACCGGCCACAUUGGGACUGAGACACGGCCCAGACUCCUACGGGAGGCAGCAGUUGGGAAUCUUCCGCAAUGGACGAAAGUCUGACGGAGCAACGCCGCGUGAGUGAUGACGGGCUUCGGGUUGUAAAGCUCUGUUAAUCGGGACGCGGUACCGGAAUAGAAAGCCACGGCUAACUACGUGCCAGCAGCCGCGGUAAUUC
rnacentral:rRNA from 1 species